rnacentral:rRNA from 1 species
AUUACCGCGGCUGCUGGCACGUAGUUAGCCGGUGCUUUUUCUGUAGGUACCGUCACUUUCGCUUCUUCCCUACUAAAAGAGGUUUACAACCCGAAGGCCUUCAUCACUCACGCGGCAUUGCUGGAUCAGGCUUUCGCCCAUUGUCCAAUAUUCCCCACUGCUGCCUCCCGUAGG